GAGAACAGACAAAAGAUAUUGCCGAAAGAAACGAUGGUGAAAGCAUUAGAGAACAAAGAAUCCUUACAACAAGUGAAGUGAAGAAACUCAAAGUCGCGAUAACCUAGAUUCACAGCAAGCAUGACGAAUUCAUGGUGGUUCUGUUAAAUUUAAAAUAUGAAAUUAUUGAUAGAUAGACAAUUUGUCAACCAGACCUUAGCUUUUGCAAUCUUAAAGUUAAAGUCCAAUAGACAAGUAAAAAUGAGGGCCUAAAAAUAUUUUUCCGUUCGACUUCCUUUUGAAUAUUUUUCAUUUUGUGUCGUAGUGUAAAACGUUUGUAAUAUUUUUUUGCAUAUUGGGAAAAGCUUCCAAAAGGGAACAAAUCCAUAGGUCAGCUUAUUUUGAUUCACCACACAAAAAGCUUAGGGAUGAAUUUCCCGUAUUUAAAAGCAAUCCAUACACAUUGUUUCAGUAAAUUCGGUCUUUGAAAAAAACACGUUUGGGGAGAUAAUUUACCCGCAUUAAGAAGCAAUCCAUACAAGCAAUC